ACAUAUUUUAGAGCUUAAAUCAUUUUAAUUAAAUUAUUAAAAUUACUUUCAAAUCCAAAUUUAUAAUACUAUACUAAUACUAAGCCUUAAAUAAAUUUAAUGUAACCCAUUUUUACUUUUAUAUAAACUACACCUUGAUCUGAAAUAUUUUAUUAUAAAAAUCUUAAACAUUAAAAUCCUAAAAAAAUAUUUAAAUUACGACGAUAUAUAAAUUAAUAAAAAAAGUAAAUUUAAUCGUGGAUUAUCAUUUACAAAACAGGUUCCUCUGAAAAGACUAAAAUACCGCCAAAUAUUUUAAUUUUCAAGACCAUAACUAUUACUAAUUUAAUAUUAAAUAUUACAUUUUAAAUAAUAGGGUAUCUAAUCCUAGUUUAACUUUAAAAUUUUUUAACUUCAUUAUCAAAAAUAAAUUUUUUAAAAAUUUGAAAAUUUCACAUAACAAAUCUUAAAUUUUAAUUAAAUUUUUCAAUUAAUUAUUAUUAAAAAAAUUAAAUUACAUUAUUUGGAUAACCGCA
rnacentral:rRNA from 1 species